AGUACGUCAGUAGGAGUUUUCGGAUCCUGGCUCAGGUAUGAACGCUGGCGGCGUGCUUAACACAUGCAAGUCGAACGGAGAUUAUACGCAGAGGCGAUUUUCGGUCAAAUCAGUGUAAAAUCUUAGUGGCGGACGGGUGAGUAACGCGUGGGUAACCUGCCUUACACUGGGGGAUAACACUUAGAAAUAGGUGCUAAUACCGCAUAAGCGCACGAAGCCGCAUGGAUUUGUGUGAAAACUCCGGUGGUGUAAGAUGGACCCGCGUCUGAUUAGCUUGUUGCGGGGUAACGGCCCACCAAGGCGACGAUCAGUAGCCGGCCUGAGGGGGUGGACGGCCACAUUGGGACUGAGACACGGCCCAAACUCCUACGGGAGGCAGCAGUGGGGGAUAUUGGACAAUGGGGGGAACCCUGAUCCAGCGACGCCGCGUGAGUGAAGAAGUAUUUCGGUAUGUAAAGCUCUGUCAGCAGGGAAGAAAGAAAUGACGGUACCUGACCAAGAAGCCCCGGCUAACUACGUG
rnacentral:rRNA from 1 species